UACGAAGGGUGCAAACGUUGCUCGGAAUUAUUGGGCGUAAAGCGCACGUAGGCGGCUCCGUAAGUCGGAUGUGAAAUCCCUCGGCUUAACCGAGGACGUGCAUCCGAAACUGUGGAGCUCGAGUAUGGAAGAGGGUCGCAGAAUUCCCGGUGUAGAGGUGAAAUUCGUAGAUAUCGGGAGGAAUACCUGUGGCGAAGGCGGCCCCCUGGGCCGCACCUGACGCUGAGACGCGAAGGCUAGGGGAGCGAACGGG
rnacentral:rRNA from 1 species